rnacentral:rRNA from 1 species
AGUGAACGCUGGCGGUAGGCCUAACACAUGCAAGUCGAACGGCAGCACAGUAAGAGCCUGCUCUUACGGGUGGCGAGUGGCGGACGGGUGAGGAAUACAUCGGAAUCUACUUUUUCGUGGGGGAUAACGUAGGGAAACUUACGCUAAUACCGCAUACGACCUACGGGUGAAAGCAGGGGAUCUUCGGACCUUGCGCGAUUGAAUGAGCCGAUGUCGGAUUAGCUAGUUGGCGGGGUAAAGGCCCACCAAGGCGACGAUCCGUAGCUGGUCUGAGAGGAUGAUCAGCCACACUGGAACUGAGACACGGUCCAGACUCCUACGGGAGGCAGCAGUGGGGAAUAUUGGACACUGGGCGCAAGCCUGAUCCAGCCAUACCGCGUGGGUGAAGAAGGCCUUCGGGUUGUAAAGCCCUUUUGUUGGGAAAGAAAAGCAGCAGGUUAAUACCCCGCUGUUCUGACGGUACCCAAAGAAUAAGCACCGGCUAACUUCGU